AUGUGCCUUUGUGGAAGGUAUUUACAGCAAAACCAGAUUCAAUCUUGAUAUGAUUUUCAUUGUUUCUUUUUGAUUCCAGUAUGCUGGGGGGAGCCUAGACAGAGAUCUGACACUUUGUCAGGAAGUGACAUACCCUCUGGUGGGACACGCUACGGAACCUACAACGUGCAUGGAACCGACACAAGCUCUGAAUCUUUUCCACUUGGCUUUGUAUCUCGAGAAGCCAGUACUCCUCUUGAUCCUGCUCCUGAUGCAUGCUGUGGACAGCCUAGACACGCAGCCUACAAUUUGUUAGGAACUGACAAACCCGCUGGUGGGACACCCUCCAGAACCUACUCUGUGCCUGGAACUGGCAGAAUCUCUGAAUACUUUCGCUUUCCAUGUGUACCCCAAGGAAUUUGUAAACCCCGUGGUCCUGAUCCUCA